CACCCACCCCUCCGGCACAGAAAGGGUUAAAAAAACAAAACUUUUAACACUUAACCUGAUUCCAGAGUCGAUGUCCCUCUGUGCUGGGUAGGUGCUCCGCCUCCUCCGAUGGAUGGGGCGCUCAUGCACAUGCUUACCUAUGGGAAGUGCAUUAAGCUUCAAUGUUUUCCUAUGUGGAUUUUACGGACGCUGGAUGUCCUCAUGGAGUGCAUGAGGACGUCCAGCGUCAGUUAGGCGACCAAAAGUCGCUUACCCACUAGAAAGUACCUCAAGAGGCUGCCCUUAAGAGACAGUCUUAGUCCUGCAAUGUAAUUAUAGCAGUUUCUCAAAAACUAAGGAGGGCAGGGAUCCGCCACUGACUCACAGGGUAAUUCAUUAAGGUGAGAAUUCAAACAAAGUGAAUUUCAAAUUUAAAAUCAAAGUGGCUGAAAUAGAAGCAGAGUCGAGUUAUAAAGGUUUUUUCCAGUACGGCUAUUUUUACCCGAUAUUUGAUAUUCACUUUGAAUUCUCACUUUAGAGGGAAAAAAAAUCAUCUUACUCUUUAGUAGUUAAGUCCAUUAAAGCACGGGUAGGCCUGGAUUUCUAAAAUUAGAUGUACCAUCUUAAACACAAAUAGAAGAGCGUUAAAGGACCACUAUAGUGCCAGGAAAACAUACUUGUGCCCCCACCCUCCGCGCUCUAGGGUGAGGAAGGGGUUAAACUUACCACUUUCUCCAGUGCCGGGCGGGGAGCUCUCCUCCUCUUCGGCUGAAAGUGCAUGCGCGGGAAGAGCUGCGCGCGCAUUCAGCCACUCUCAUAGGAAAGCAUUAUCAAUUUUUUGAUUUUCACAGUGAGAAGCACGCAAGCGCCUCUAGCGGCUGUCAAUGAGACAGCCACUAGAGGCUGGAUUAACCCAUAGGUAAACAUAGCAGUUUCUCUGAAACUGCUAUGUUUAUAGAAAAAAGGGUUAACCCUAGCUGGACCUGGCACCCAGACCACUUCAUUAAGCUGAAGCGGUCUAGGUGCCUAUAGUGGUCCUUUAACAACCAAAAUUGGACACCUGUAUCUAAACAGGUAUCUCUACAAGUCAAUAGGAAUUAUUUUUUCAGAAUAAGUUUUAUUUGGGUGUUAGGUGUAAGUGUAUUAGCUAUUGCUUCAUCUUCUUCCUAGUAGGAAAUAGGAAGAUCAGGAGCGCAAUUAGUAAGAGGUUAAAAGGACCCCCAAAUAAAUGCAAAGGUAUUCCGACUGAGAAUGAUACAUGACAGUAAAAUCUGUAUCACAGGAGAAAGAUCUCACGGAUAGCUUUAUUUAUUUUAGUACAUAUAUUUCUAUAUGUAGCAUUUAUUUUUUGGUUGCAUUUUAAUAAAUUGGCAAUAUUUAAUGCUAACUUGUGAGAUCUCCGCUUAUUUCAAAGGGGGUAAGAGUCACCCUGAAUCGGUACACACAUGCUCUAUACCUAGAGUCAGUUCUGUUAGG